GACAGAAGGCCACCUCUGCGUGCAGGCAAUUGAAACGAAGAAAAGAAAAAUAGAAAGAGCGAAGAAGGGUGACUGAAUGGGAGGUCGCCGACAUUACGUAACUUGACAGCAAACGCGAAAAUAAUUAAGGGUGGAUCUGUGUCGCUGUCAAAAAUAUUGCAACAUGCCACGGAUUUACUUAUUGGGCCCAACAAACCUGAGGCUAAGAAAC
rnacentral:misc_RNA from 1 species